rnacentral:rRNA from 1 species
GACGAACGCUGGCGGCGUGCCUAAUACAUGCAAGUCGAGCGGAUGACGGAGGAGCUUGCUCCUCCUGAUUCAGCGGCGGACGGGUGAGUAACACGUGGGCAACCUGCCCUGUAGAUUGGGAUAACUCCGGGAAACCGGGGCUAAUACCGAAUAAUCCUUCGGACCUCAUGGUCCGAUGUUGAAAGACGGCAUCUCGCUGUCACUACAGGAUGGGCCCGCGGCGCGUUAGCUAGUUGGUGAGGUAACGGCUCACCAAGGCCACGAUGCGUAGCCGACCUGAGAGGGUGAUCGGCCACACUGGGACUGAGACACGGCCCAGACUCCUACGGGAGGCAGCAGUAGGGAAUCUUCCACAAUGGACGAAAGUCUGAUGGAGCAACGCCGCGUGAGUGAAGAAGGUUCUCGGAUCGUAAAACUCUGUUGUGAGGGUAGAACAAGUACCGGAGUAACUGCCGGUGCCUUGACGGUACCUCAUUAGAAAGCCACGGCUAACUACGUGCCAGCCGCCGCAGUAAGAC